GAGCUGUCCUCGCUCGCUCGCUCGCCGGCUCCCGCCCGCCCUCCGCCCGCCCGCCGCCUCUCUCCGCCCCUCCUCCGCCGCCAGCCGCCGGGUCUUGUUGCGGCCCCCUCUCGCCCUCGGCUCCUGCCCCUCGCCGCUGGACAGCCCGCCGGCGCGCGAGGCCCAGGAGCGCCCGUCGGGAGGGCGCCAGCCUGCCGUGCCAGGCGCCCGAGCGCAGCCUCGAGGACCCACCUGAGGUGCCCUUGACCAUCCCUGUCCCCCACCCCACCCCGGAUCCCGGCAAUGCUAACCGCCGUCUGUGGCUCUCUGGGCAGCCAGCACUCGGACGCGCCUCCCGCCUCCCCGCCGCGCCUCGACGUGCAGCCUCUCCAAACAUACCAGGGCCACACGAGCCCUGAGGCCGGGGACUACCCCUCCUCUCUGCAACCUGGAGAGCUGCAGAGCCUGCCGCUGGGCCCAGAGGUGGACUUCUCACAGGGCUAUGACCUGCCGGGGGCCUCCUCUCGGGUAACUUGCGAGGACCUGGAAAGCGACAGUCCCUUGGCCCCGGGACCCUUUUCCAAGCUCCUGCAGCCGGACGUGUCACACCAUUACGAAUCGUGGUUCCGGCCGACACACCCAGGCACCGAGGAUGGCUCGUGGUGGGACCUUCAUCCGGGUACCAGCUGGAUGGACCUCCCCCACCCUCAGGGCGCGCUGACCUCACCUGGCCACCCCGGGGCGCUUCAGGCUGGCUUGGGGGGCUACGUCGGAGACCACCAGCUUUGUGCCCAGCCGCCCCACCCACACCCGCACCCGCACCACCUCCUCCCAGCCGCCGGAGGGCAGCACCUCCUCGGGUCUCCCGACGGGGCGAAGGCCUUGGAAGCAGCCGCCCCGGAAUCCAGUCUGGAUGGGGCGGCCCGGCCCAAAGGCUCCCGGCGGUCAGUGCCCCGCAGCUCAGGCCAGACCGUGUGCCGCUGCCCCAACUGCCUGGAGGCGGAGCGACUGGGGGCUCCGUGCGGGCCCGAUGGGGGCAAGAAGAAGCAUUUGCACAAUUGCCACAUCCCGGGCUGUGGGAAAGCCUACGCCAAGACAUCGCACCUGAAGGCACACCUGCGCUGGCACAGCGGCGACCGCCCCUUCGUGUGCAACUGGCUCUUCUGCGGCAAGCGCUUCACGCGCUCCGACGAGCUGCAGCGCCACCUCCAAACCCACACCGGCACCAAGAAGUUCCCCUGCGCAGUCUGCAGCCGAGUCUUCAUGCGCAGCGACCACCUGGCCAAACACAUGAAAACCCACGAGGGCGCCAAAGAGGAGGCUGCCGGGGCGGCGGCGGGAGAGGGCAAGGCCGGCGGAGCGGAGCCCCCCGGGGGCAAAGGCAAGCGCGAGGCCGAGGGCAGCGCGGCUCCCUGCAACUGAGCUCCUCGUCCCGCCUCCCCGUCCCGCCUCCCCGUUGGUCUCCCCUGGGACCAUCAGAAGAGAGCCUUCUGGCCUGAUGCCCUUGUGGGGGGGGGGUGGCUUGAGUAAGAGAAGGUGGUUAUUUAUGGAGAGGGAGGGAAAGUGGUGCGGGGGUCAGGGAGCCGGGUCGCUAGGGGUCUCUUAGUCUCUGGGGCUGGACAGGACAGAGGCGUUUGACUGGGCGGGGAGGAGCUGCGCAUGCCCAUCAGUUCUCCCCUUCCUCGCUCUUUCACUUCACGCCCCUGGGCUGGGGGGCUGGGGGGUUGGGGUGGACUACCCCUACGGCGGCUGGAGGGCCGAGGGGAUAGGUUGGAGGAUACGGCGCGUCCCCGGAGCAGAGAGGAGUGGGGCCGCCCCGGGCGCUGGGGGUAGCUGUCUGGACACGUCGUUAGCGCCUGGGAACCCGGACAUAAAAGGGCCUCUGGAGCCGCGCUGCGGCCCGGGUCCCUUUCAUCCCCCUUAGAGUGCUUUACCCCGGGGUUUCCGGAGGGAGCGCUGAGAUGGGGUAGCAGAGGCUGGGGGUCCCCCUAAGGGAGGAGUUUCUAUCUGGCCUGGGAGGGUUGUCACCGCAGAAAUAAUGUCUCUGAUGUGCCUCCUUAUUAAGCCUUCCAGACCCAGUGUGAUGGAGCCACGAGGGAAGAAGGGAAGAGGGCCAGAAUGGGCGACAGCUUCCAGCCAGAACUGUGGGGUGGAGGAGGGAGCCAGAUGUGGAGGUUGAGCAAGGAAGUCUUCCUCUAAAAUGAGAGAAAGGGAUUUGGUCAGGGAGUGGAAGUAAGCCCCUCCCUCUCUAACUCUGAUUCAGUCCUUAGCUCUUGGUCUUUAUAAAAGUAAACCCCUCCCUCUCUAACUCUGAUUCAGUCCUUAGCUCUUGGUCUUUAUAAAAGUAAAGUUCAGUAGUCCACUCUCAUCUGUCAGCCCAGGCAGGCCUUCAAGGCAGCCAAGAGCCCUUGCUCCAGAACUGAUGUAGUUCCUCACCCUUGGUGCCUGGCCUUUGCCCUCCCCUGAGGGAUGGAAGGAAGCGGGUUACCUCGGUUGGGUGAGGGUAGGUGGGGGUGUCCCAGCAGAGGGACCUCCAGCGGUUCCUGCUCAGAGUGGAGGACUCUGUCCCUGCCUGGCCAUCUGCUUGCAGAGAAGCUAAGCCCCACUCUUUCUUCAGCUCGACCCUCCCCUUUCGUGCUGCCUACAAGCCUUGCCCCUCCUGUAGAGUGUGUUAGGAGGCUCCUCCCCAUCUCAUCUCUUGUGGGGCUCCCCUUCCAUAUGAGGAAGUGGUCCUGUCACUGGAAGGGGCCUGCCUUCUGAGGUGAUGUCCAGGAAGCUGUCCCUGUUCCCUUCUUUAGAUGCUAGAAAUACGUCCUGAUGGUGAUCCUGGAGUGGGGAACGUGGGGAGGGGUGAAGCCAGAAGAGGCUGAGCCAGGCAAAAGGAAAAAAGCUGAUGGGGGCAGGGUCUGACAGGCCGCAGGAGCCUGGAGCUAGUGGGCUUUCCCAGGCUCCAGGUAGCGGCCUUAAGAUUCCCCCCGACCUCCCGUUUCCCUGCCUUUCUUUCUCCACCCAGAGCCCUGUGCAAGGAUUAGUUGUGUAUUGAUUUUUUAAGUUAUAAGCAAAGGGUAUUUUAUUUAAUAUUAGGACAUGUGUGUUCAUGUUGUGUGUACCUAUGCAUGUGUGUGUUUCUCUGUGUGUGUGUGUUUCUCUACUGAGCCUGGGGUCUCCAGCCAGGGAGACCCCACCUUGUUCACCCCAGCCGAGGUCCUGGAGCCUAGGCUCACAGCAUCUCUUCCUUCCUUGGGGAUAUCAGUCCAAGGAGUGGGUGCUGUUGGGAAGUGGGGCUGGGAUCUGGGUGGGAAUAUGUUUGUGUAGCAGAGAGCCCUUCUUAAGAGGGAUGGGGUGACUCUCCCUGAAGGACGCAUGGGCCUGGGGUAGGUUAAGAAGUAAUGUCCUUUCUUUAUGCUCCCUCUUCCCCUACCUCCUGCUAAUCCGACCAGAGGUCCCUUUCCUUGCUGAGAGGGCUGGGGGCAGAAGAGAGUUGGCAGUGCCUGCAGGUUGCCUGGCCAGGUGGAUGAGGGGGAGAGAGGGAGGGCGCUGUGGGUGUGAGAUGCCGCUUUCCUCCAGCUGAGGAAACCAGCCACCUCUCCCUUUGCCACUAGGACAGCCUUUCCCAGUGACCGUCCUCAGGGGAACUCCCAAAUGUGCGUUGGGGAGAGGACAGCACGGAUAUUCCCCCCACGGAGGCCCCGAGCUCUAAGGUGUGCUGGUGAGGGCUUUGGAUAGGUUUUCUUUUGCUCCCCUCUUUUAAUAGAUCUAGGUUGCUUGGCUGUCUGCCCCCUUCUAGGCAGCCGCCUAGAGGAGAAAUGUAGGAUUUUUUUUCUUUAAGUGCUGUGAACCCAUUUUGGGGUGCGGGGGGGAGGAGGAGGAAGAAGCAGCCUGUGUUUUUUAUGCCAUAAUAAAGUCAUCAACCACACCACUGCUUCAUUUGUCUUCCAGCUCCGGUUUCCUUUUUGACUCAUGGUCUCUCAGCAGCAAGGACCAGGCUGGCUGCAGGGUGGGGUGGACACUUCUCUUUGAUCCUGCAGCCCUGGGCAGCCUCACCUCCCUUUGUUUGGGGGCAGAGCUGAGCUGAUUGUUGAAGGGUCUGAUCCUGCCCGGAGGUUGUUGAUGCAGAAGGAGGGUGGCGCUCCCUCGGGGUUGAUAGCUGGGCUGACUGUCCCUCCCUGGUCUUC